rnacentral:rRNA from 1 species
CCCUUAGAUGUCCUGGGCCGCACGCGCGCUACACUGACAUGUUCAACAAGCCUCCUAGUUCGACAGGAUUUGGGAAAUCUUUGAACGCAUGUCGUGAUAGGGAUAGAUCAUUGCAAUUAUUGAUCUUGAACGAGGAAUUCCUAGUAAACGCGAGUCAUCAGCUCGCAUUGAUUACGUCCCUGCCCUUUGUACACACCGCCCGUCGCACCUACCGAUUGAAUGUUUCGGUGAAGAUUCCGGAUAGGACUUUUUGAUUUAUUUCAAUUUUGUCUUAAAAGCUAUCUAAACCUCAACAUUUAGAGGAAGGUGAAGUCGUAACA